AGCUUAUUCGAAAACAACAAUAAAAAAUAUAGGUCACCGAUGAGUUAAAAAAGAUAUUUCUAUUUUAAUGCCAAAAAAUGACAUUUUUUGCACCAAAGGGAGAUAAUUUAGAGCUUUUUCAAUGUAUCGACAUUUUAAAAGUCACCUGGGGUCAACACGAAGUUUUUUUUGGAAUUAUUUUUGUACCAUAUGAUAAAGUAACAACUACUAAAGGUAAUUUAUAGAAUUUGUAAUGUAAAAUAAAAAUUUAUUUUUUUU
rnacentral:lncRNA from 1 species